ACGGAAAUAGCUCAGUUGGGAGAGCGUUAGACUAGAUCGAAAGGUUCCUGGUUCGAUUACGGGAUUCGGCA
rnacentral:tRNA from 1 species